rnacentral:rRNA from 1 species
GACAGAGGUGCCGAGCGUUAGGCGGAAUCACUGGGCUUAAAGCGCGUGUAGGCGGUCCGGUAAGUCCGCUGUGAAAGUCGGGGGCUCAACCCUCGGAUGCCGGUGGAUACUGUCGGGCUUGAGUACGGAAGAGGCGAGUGGAAUUCCUGGUGUAGCGGUGAAAUGCGCAGAUAUCAGGAGGAACACCAAUUGCGAAGGCAGCUCGCUGGGACGUUACUGACGCUGAGACGCGAAAGCGUGGGGAGCAAACAGG